ACCAGAUCAUCCACAUGUAACAACCUAACUCACUAGCAACAAUUACUCGUUAGGCUAAAACAUAGGCCCAAAAUGCUUAAGUCCAAUUAUUAUUACUAGUCUAUAAAUCUAUUAUAUAUCCAAUCAUAUUUCCAUUUCUAUUCGAUGUGGGAUUAUUAGGGUGUGACAAACUCCCCCUGUUAAAGCCCUGACGUUCUUGUAAAUUUAAUCACAUACAUAGCCCAAGAUCAAUAGGCGAUGUGAAACUCGUAUUGCUAGCCUUGUCAUCCAGACCCCUCUAAACCCUAAACCCUAAACCCUAAAACCCUAAAACCCUAAAUCCUAAACCCUAAACCCUAAAACCCUAAACCCUAAUAGCCGGUCAUCUUGUCAUUCAGAAUCCGACAUAGCUUAUCACUUUGUCUUUUAGAUCCUGACUCAGCCGAGACUCGUCACAUAUUUUCGACUGGUGAACCAGCUUUAAUACCAAAUAUAACGACUCAGCCCACUAGUAAUAAUAACUCGUUUGGCCCAAACAUCGGUCCAAAAUACUUAAACUCAAUUAUUAUUACUAGUCUCGAGAUAUUUAUGAAGUCGUCUUUUUUUUUUAUAUAAUCACAUG
rnacentral:lncRNA from 1 species